rnacentral:tRNA from 1 species
GGGACAUAGUAACACGUUAUAAAACGAAGGCUAACAACUCUUAAUCGUCAGGUUGGGGGUUCGAUUCCCUCAUGGCCCACCA